AACGCGAAGAACCUUACCAGGAUUUGACAUGGGCAGGACUGGCACAGAGAUGUGUCUUCCCCGCAAGGGGCCUGCCGCACAGGUGCUGCAUGGCUGUCGUCAGCUCGUGUCGUGAGAUGUUGGGUUAAGUCCCGCAACGAGCGCAACCCUUAUCCCUAGUUGCCAUCGGGUCAAGCCGGGCACUCUAGUGAAACCGCCCAGGAUAACUGGGAGGAAGGUGGGGAUGACGUCAAGUCCUCAUGGCCUUUAUGUCCAGGGCUACACACGUGCUACAAUGGUCGGUACAAACCGUCGCAAACCCGCGAGGGGGAGCUAAUCGGAAAAAGCCGGCCUCAGUUCGGAUUGGAGUCUGCAACCCGACUCCAUGAAGCUGGAAUCGCUAGUAAUCGCGGAUCAGAACGCCGCGGUGAAUACGUUCCCGGGCCUUGUACACACCGACUGUAC
rnacentral:rRNA from 1 species